CCUUGAUGACUCAGAUGGUUAAGAAUCUGCCUGCAAUGCAGGAGACCUGGGUUCAAUCCCUGGAUCAAGGA
rnacentral:tRNA from 1 species